GUAAGGAAUAUUGGACAAUGGACGCAAGUCUGAUCCAGCCAUGCCGCGUGAAGGAUUAAGGUCCUCUGGAUUGUAAACUUCUUUUAUAAGGGACGAAAAAAGGCUUUUCUAAGUCGUCUGACGGUACCUUAUGAAUAAGCACCGGCUAACUCCGUGCCAGCAGCCGCGGUAAUACGGAGGGUGCAAGCGUUAUCCGGAUUUAAUGGGUUUAAAGGGUGCGUAGGCGGGCAGGUAAGUCAGUGGUGAAAUCCUAGAGCUUAACUCUAGAACUGCCAUUGAUACUAUCUGUCUUGAAUAUUGUGGAGGUAAGCGGAAUAUGUCAUGUAGCGGUGAAAUGCUUAGAUAUGACAUAGAACACCUAUUGCGAAGGCAGCUUACUACGCAUAUAUUGACGCUGAGGCACGAAAGCGUGGGGAUCAAACAGGAUUAGAAACCCGUGUAGUCC
rnacentral:rRNA from 1 species